GAUGAACGCUAGCUACAGGCUUAACACAUGCAAGUCGCGGGGCAGCAUGGGGGUUGCUUGCAAUCCCCGAUGGCGACCGGCGCACGGGUGAGUAACGCGUAUCCAACCUGCCCUUCACCACGGGAUAACCCGGCGAAAGUCGGACUAAUACCGUAUGUUGUCCAUUGACGGCAUCCGAUUUGGACGAAAGGUUUGGCGGUGAAGGAUGGGGAUGCGUCCGAUUAGCUGGACGGCGGGGUGACGGCCCACCGUGGCGACGAUCGGUAGGGGUUCUGAGAGGAAGGUCCCCUACACUGGAACUGAGACACGGUCCAGACUCCUACGGGAGGCAGCAGUGAGGAAUAUUGGUCAAUGGGCGUAAGCCUGAACCAGCCAAGUAGCGUGCAGGAUGACGGCCCUAUGGGUUGUAAACUGCUUUUAUGCGGGGAUAAAGUGGCCCACGUGUGGGUUUUUGCAGGUACCGCAUGAAUAAGGACCGGCUAAUUCCGUG
rnacentral:rRNA from 1 species